rnacentral:rRNA from 1 species
CUUAAAGAGUUCGUAGGUGGUUAAAAAAGUUGGUGGUGAAAUCCCAGAGCUUAACUCUGGAACUGCCAUCAAAACUUUUAGCUAGAGUAUGAUAGAGGAAAGCAGAAUUUCUAGUGUAGAGGUGAAAUUCGUAGAUAUUAGAAAGAAUACCAGUGGCGAAGGCGACUAACUGGGCCAUUUUUGACGCUGAGAUACGAAAGCGUGGGUAGCAAACAGGAUUAGAUACCCUGGUAGUCCACGCAGUAAACGAUGAGUGCUAGUCGCUGGGACAAUAGUUUCAGUGUCGAAGCUAACGCAUUAAGCACUCCGCCUGGGAAGUACGGUCGCAAGAUUAAAACUCAAAUAAAUUGACGGGGGCCCGCACAAGCGGUGGAGCAUGUGGUUUAAUUCGAAGCAACGCGAAGAACCUUACCAGACCUUGACAUGGUAUGUUUGAAUUACAGAAUAGUAAUUCUUCAGUUCGGCUGGCAUACACACAGGUGCUGCAUGGCU